rnacentral:rRNA from 1 species
GGGGAAUUUUCCGCAAUGGGCGAAAGCCUGACGGAGCAAUACCGCGUGAAGGAUGAAGGCCUGUGGGUUGUAAACUUCUUUUAUUAGAGAAGAAUACUGACGGUAUCUAAUGAAUAAGCAUCGGCUAACUCCGUGCCAGCAGCCGCGGUAAUACGGGGGAUGCAAGCGUUAUCCGGAAUUAUUGGGCGUAAAGAGUCUGUAGGUUGCUCUAUAAGUCUGCUGUUAAAUAUUAGAGCUCAACUCUAAACAAGCGGUGGAAACUAUUGAGCUAGAGUAUGGUAGAGGCAAAGGGAAUUUCCAGUGUAGCGAUGAAAUGCGUAGAUAUUGGGAAGAACACCAGAAGCGAAAGCGCUUUGCUGGGCCAUCACUGACACUCAGAGACGAAAGCUAGGGUAGCGAAUGGGAUUAGAUACCCCAGUAGUC